GUGCUUCAUUCAGCAGCACAAAGACUAAAACUGGAAUGGAAUAGAUUAGCAUAAUCCCUGAAAAAGGAUGGCCAAAAAUUUGUGAAGAGCUUCAUAUUUUA
ensembl:snRNA U6 U6 spliceosomal RNA